rnacentral:rRNA from 1 species
GCAAGUCGAACGCGAAAGUCCCCUUCGGGGGAUAAGUAGAGUGGCGUCCGGGUGAGUAACACGUAGGUAAUCUACCUUCGGGUGGGGAAUAACGCAGGGAAACUUGCGCUAAUACCGCAUAAUGCAGCGGCACCACAUGGUGACAGUUGUUAAAGCGGGGGAUUUUCGAACCUCGCGCCUGAAGAGGAGCCUGCGGCAGAUUAGCUAGUUGGUAGGGUAACGGCUUACCAAGGCGACGAUCUGUAGCCGGCCUGAGAGGGCGGUCGGCCACACUGACACUGACAUACGGGUCAGACUCCUACGGGAGGCAGCAGUCGGGAAUUUUGGGCAAUGGGCGAAAGCCUGACCCAGCAACGCCGCGUGAAGGAUGAAAUCCCUCGGGAUGUAAACUUCGCAAGAAUAGGAAGAAUGAGUAGGGGCUAAUACUCCCUAUGAUGACGGUACUAUUUGUAAGCUCCGGCUAACUCCGUGCCAGCAGCCGCGGUAAUACGGGGGGAGCAAGCGUUGUUCGGAUUUACUGGGCGUAAAGGGCGCGUAGGCGGCCAGCGCAAGUCAGUUGUGAAAUCUCCGGGCUUAACUCGGAACGGUCAACUGAUACUGCGCGGCUAGAGUGCGGAAGGGGCAACUGGAAUUCUCGGUGUAGCGGUGAAAUGCGUAGAUAUCGAGAGGAACACCUGCGGCGAAAGCGGGUUGCUGGGCCGACACUGACGCUGAUGCGCGAAAGCCAGGGGAGCGAACGGGAUUAGAUACCCCGGUAGUCCUGGCCUUAAACGAUGGAUGCUUGGUGUCUGGAGUUUUAUAGUCUCCGGGUGCCGCA